rnacentral:tRNA from 1 species
GCCUGGGUGGCUCAGUUGGUUAAGCGUCUGACUUCAGCUCAGGUCAUGAUCUCACAGUUCGUGGGUUCAAGCCCCACGUUGGGCU